CUCUGAUGAGGACGUACUUAAACACGCCGGAAGGAUCGAUGUCUGCCUGCGGGAUGUUUACCAUGCGGACAGCCGCUUUCGUUUGGGUGCACAUCUCCACGCAACUCGACAGCCGCACUGGCACGAUAACAAACUAAAUGGCACGAAGGGCAAUGAAGACCAGGAUGGUGACCAGCAGCAACACAAAAAGAACUGUAAGGCUUUCCCAUACUCCCGGUGCUAAUGCCUUCCACGUUCGAACUUUUUCUGAUGGCAGCAAAUUACUCAGACUCAACAUGUAGCCAAGAGCCCACCCAACUGAGGUGUCGCCAGCCUGCAGGAUCAAUAAUAAAAUGUGAAUGGAACAUGCCCCUUCAUAUUCUUUCACCAUAGACUCAUCUUGGAUACACCUGACUGUUAAAAGAAACCAAGUUUUGCCCUGUGAUGGCCAGGUGAACAGUCCAGUGUACCCCGCCUCUUGCUCCAAGUCAGCUGGGAUAAGUUCCAGUUCACCAGUGACUCUAUGUGGACAAGCAGUAUAGAAUAUGUCUGGGCAGCAGAUACUGGAGUUGACCUUUGAAGCAGUCUGGGCACGCCUAAAGCUAAAAUAGGUCAGGUAUCUCUCACACAAGUGCAACAACAAGGUAACCACUUAAUGAUAAGGGCAUAAUCUAAAGGUGAGUCACGCACAUGAGACAUCAUGCAUAACGACAUUUCAACAUCUCAAGUGUUGUGCGACUAUCUUUUGUGAAGUAUGUAAAUGGAUUUCCAGAUUGUCUUGUAUUGUCUUCCUCUGUAUUCAAUGGAAUCAAAUAUUGUGUUUGUUCCAAUUAAAUGUGAUUCCAAAUAUAAAUCAACGAUUAUAAAUAAUGGUACAGCAUGGGUCUAUUUCUGCCCUCCCAACAACCACCACCUUCUCCCGUUAAACGCCACUGUGUAUUUUUCUAUGUGAGUGAAUAUUGGGUACACACAGUUAAUACUGUGAAUACCAAUGUGUGUGUCUGUUGAGUGCAUACACUACAGAUUGUCAUAUCUAGAAAAUAUGAAAAUAUUACGUCAAAUAUGUGGUUUGAAAUGAAACCAGGCUGGGAGUCUCCCAGCUCACUGCCUUUGUUUACAUGUUAACCAACUUUACACUAUCAGUGAAGCAAAAAUAACCUACGGGACCAACCUUACCAUGAACCCGGGCACCCUGGCAACGUCUUCGCUCGGCACAGUGAGGAGCAGGACUGCGGCCAGACCGAGCACCAGCAGAACGAUGAGGACAGCAGGAUGAGCCGCACACUGAGCCAUGAUCGAGGCAAAAAAGUGGCUCGCUAGAUGACUUAAAUACAGUAUGUGAGCAAUCACUGGAAACAGGCUUAUUUUGCCACCCACCUUUUUGGAAGAAGCUGCCAAUCUAUACAAACCAGCAUCAAGGAACAAGAAGGAAAGACGAAUUAGUUCCGCAACAGGAGUUUACAACUGGAUUUUCUUCUGUAGGAAGAGUAAAAUGUCAUCCGGUCCAUUUGCACGUGAAGAUAGACUUCCUCAAAGUAUUAUACUUCUGUGAUGACUGAAGACUUAAAAGACAGCUAGAGGUCAGAAGAGUCGGGAUGCGGGUUUGACUUGUCUUUCAAUUCCUUCUGUGCACUUCGUAUAUCUGUGCAUGCGUACAUACUAACAUAUUAGCUAUAGGUUGUGUGUUAUUUAUUAGUUAUAUGUGGCUUAUAAAUCACGACACUGCACUCAUUCCAGCGCAACAAAAUCAUGUGUAGCAUUGCUAAUAGCCAUGUCCCCGAAAACAAAAACAUUAAAACUGACUUUACAUGGUA